CUGGUCUAAUAAGUAUAACAUAACACUUGGGAAUAAAUAUACACCCCAGCAAUCCCGUGCUAGAUGUCAGGAUUGCAAAUAUCUCCACAGCCACAACGUACUUCCCUUUGGUGCUCAGAUAGGCUGGGAUAAAAGAGAUCCACACACUGAGGAAUACUAACAUGCUGAAGGUAAUAAACCUGGCUUCGUUGAACAUAUCAGGAAGGUUCCUAGCUAAAAAAGCUAUAAAGAAACUAACAAAGGCCAGAAAUCCCAUGUAACCCAGCACACUAUAAAAUCCAAUCUGUGACCCAUCAUUACAUUCAGCUACUAUCGUCCCAACUUCAACUUCCGUGUUUUCAUCUGGAUACGGAGGAGAAAUUCCUAACCAAGUACAACAUAUUAUUACUUGGAUCAAGGAACAGCAUAGUAAAAUGGAAUUAGAAGAUCUGGAUCCAACCCAGUGCUGUAACUUGCUUCCCGGCUUGGUGGCAUUGAAUGCAAUAAUUACUGUCACUGUUUUGGCCAAAAUGGAUGAGACAGAGAUGGAGAAAAUUAUUCCAAACACAGUUUGUCUCAGAAUACAAGUUAAUUUAUGCGGA